rnacentral:rRNA from 1 species
AAAAUCCGCGGGGAUGAGCCGAGACACGAGUCCGUGGGCGCAAGCCCUGAAGCUGUUGAGCCACGGCUGCCAAGAAAAGCUUCUAAGUUUAGAUCGCGCGAACCGUACCGCAAACCAACUCAGGUGGAUGGGAUGAAUAAUCCAAGGCGCUCGAGAGAACUCUGGCCAAGGAACUCGGCAAAUUGACCCCGUACCUUCGGAAUAAGGGGUGCUCCCCAUGGUGAGGCAGAUUCCUGCUCAGCCUCAGGGAGCCGCAGAGAAAUGGUGGUGGCGACUGUUUACUAAAAACAUAGGUCUGUGCGAAGUCCUACAGACGACGUAUACGGACUGACGCCUGCCCGGUGCCGGAAGGUUAAAAGGAGGAGUCAGCGCAAGCGAAGCUCCGAUUUGAGGCCCCGGUAAACGGCGGCCGUAACAAUAACGGUCCUAAGGUAGCGAAAUUCCUUGUCGGGCAAGUUCCGACCUGCACGAAUGGCGUAACGAUCUCCACGCUGUCUCGGCCAGAGACUCGGUGAAAUUGAAGUCGCGGUGAAAAUGCCGUGUACCCGCAGAAAGACGGAAAGACCCUGUGCACCUUUACUAUAGCUUGACAUUGGGUUUUGAACCUGCAUGUGUAGGAUAGGUGGGAGGCUGUGAAAGCUGUACGCCAGUAUGGCCGGAGCCACCCGUGAAAUACCACCCUUGUUUGUUCAGGACCCUAACUCGCAGCUGUAAUCCAGCGCGAAGACAGUGUCUGGUGGGUAGUUUGACUGGGGCGGUCGCCUCCUAAAGAGUAACGGAGGCAUGCAAAGGUUCCCUCAGGCUGAUUGGAAACCAGCCGUUGAGUGCAAGCGCAUAAGGGAGCUUGACUGCAAGAGAGACAUCUCGAACAGAUACGAAAGUAGGUGCUAGUGAUCCGGUGGCCCCGAAUGGAAGGGCCAUCGCUCAUUGGAUAAAAGGUACGCCGGGGAUAACAGGCUGAUCGCAUCCAAGAGUUCACAUCGACGAUGCGGUUUGGCACCUCGAUGUCGGCUCAUCACAUCCUGGGGCUGAAGCAGGUCCCAAGGGUACGGCUGUUCGCCGUUUAAAGUGGUACGCGAGCUGGGUUUAAAACGUCGUGAGACAGUUUGGUCCCUAUCUUCUGUGGGCGUAGGAGAAUUGAGAGGGUUUGUCCCUAGUACGAGAGGACCGGGAUGAACGCACCACUGGUGGAUCAGUUGUCGCGCCAGCGGCAUAGCUGAGUAGCUAUGUGCGGAAUGGAUAACCGCUGAAAGCAUCUAAGCGGGAAGCCAGCCUCGAGAUAAGUUCUCCCUGUCGCAAGACACUAAAGGGCCGAUGAAGACUACAUCGUUGAUAGGCCGGAGGUGGAAGCGCUGCGAAGCGUGGAGCUGACCGGUACUAAUAGCCCGUGCGCCUU